rnacentral:lncRNA from 1 species
GUGCACUUGAGAUAUUGCAAGUGAUGAGCAAAACAGAUCUUUAAUAAAUGAAAUAAAUGUGACUGUAUGUCCUACAUCCCAUUCCUGUUGUCUUCCAUGUCUCCUCAGAGGAAGGCCUGAGGAGAGAAGACACAUAGUCAUGCUGACUAAACCAGAUCACCUAGAAUUACCAAAUGGAAAGCAUCUACUUGUUUCCAAAGUUAUUUGGGUCAGCAUUUUCCUCCACCCACCACUUAAAACUGAUUUGUUUCAUACAUUUGAAAUGUAUGAAAAGCCAGAAAUCCAGGACCCACCCUGGCCUGCUCCCUUUUUCUCACCUACUGUGUUAAGGAUAAGUCAAUUGAGCUUCACUUCUCUAAUUGAAAUCACCGUGCUGAUGGAGUCUGUCUGUGGAAAUGAAAGGUGGCUACCAUAAUCUGUUGGGAGUUGAAUUAAUCCUCUGGGAGUGAGGCUGACCUAAUUACUCAGAAAUACUGGGCUUGCUUUCAUUCUGUGGAAUACAGCCAUGAGAAAGAGGCCAGCAUGCCAUUUCCUAAUCUUUUCUUGAAUUGCCUGAAACUCACCUAACAUGAAACUGAGAAGCCUUUUCAUUUGAAAGUGGUAUUUCUUAUGUUUUUUAUCUUUUUGCUUGAAAGUAUUCUUAAACUAAAGAAAGGAGAAACAGAAAAGGUGAAGAAGCCAAGAGGCUGGAGUUUCCUUUUGAAUGGAUAUUCAUCCAUGAAGCUGUUGAUUCUGUUUUUCUGUUCCUCCAGAUGUCUACACUUUUACCUCUGCUUGCCUGAUACAACCACCACCAGUCACCUCACAGAAUAACUCACUCCUUAAGAAUCUGAUCAGGAAUCAGCCUUCCCUGAUCACAAACACUGAGUUUAGAAGUCCCUCCACAGUGUCCCCCGUAACCCUGUGCUACCUCACUGCCUCAUAGUUUAGUGCCGUUUGUGUACAUGCCUAUCUUCGUCCAUGGAUCCAGAACAACUUGUAAAAAUGACUGUACUUAUCACCUUCAGUAUUCAAUGACUAAACUAUAAUUUUAACAUAUCUGGCAGAAUGAAUCACUUGGGGAUUUCUGCCAACACUACCAAUAUAUUACUCCUAAUUUGUAAUUAUUACUUAGCAUGGAUUAUAGUACCGGCUGUUGGAGAGCCAAUGUGGCAGACCCUAAGUGGAAUAAAAUGUCAGUAGCAGUCUAGGAGCAUAUAUUUAUUGGAAUAGAUCAUUCAUUCAUUUGUUCAUUAACUAAUUUGUUCAUUAAAUAAACAUUUAUUAAGC